rnacentral:rRNA from 1 species
UACGUAGGGAGCGAGCGUUGUUCGGAUUUACUGGGCGUAAAGCGCGCGUAGGCGGCUUUGUAAGUCGGGUGUGAAAGCCUUCGGCUCAACCGAGGACACGCGCCCGAAACUGCAUGGCUCGAGUCUAGGAGAGGAGAGCGGAAUUCCCAGUGUAGCGGUGAAAUGCGUAGAUAUUGGGAGGAACACCGGUGGCGAAGGCGGCUCUCUGGACUAGUACUGACGCUGAGGCGCGAAAGCUAGGGGAGCGAACGGG